rnacentral:tRNA from 1 species
UAUCGGGUGGCCGAGAUAUAGGCAUUAAGCCUUUAACUUAACCAGGGUACAACUAUUACCCCCGAUAA